AUUGAACGCUGGCGGCAGGCCUAACACAUGCAAGUCGAGCGGUAGCACAGGGAGCUUGCUCCUGGGUGACGAGCGGCGGACGGGUGAGAAAUGUCUGGGAAACUGCCUGAUGGAGGGGGAUAACUACUGGAAACGGUAGCUAAUACCGCAUAACGUCGCAAGACCAAAGAGGGGGACCUUCGGGCCUCUUGCCAUCAGAUGUGCCCAGAUGGGAUUAGCUAGGAGGUGGGGUAACGGCUCACUUAGGCGACGAUCACUAGCUGGUCUGAGAGGAUGACCAGCCACACUGGAACUGAGACACGGUCCAGACUCCUACGGGAGGCAGCAGUGGGGAAUAUUGCACAAUGGGCGCAAGCCUGAUGCAGCCAUGCCGCGUGUAUGAAGAAGGCCUUCGGGUUGUAAAGUACUUUCAGCGGGGAGGAAGGCGAUAAGGUUAAUAACCUUGUCGAUUGACGUUACCCGCAGAAGAAGCACCGGCUAACUCCGUGCCAGCCGCCGCCGUAA
rnacentral:rRNA from 1 species